UACGUAGGGUGCAAGCGUUGUCCGGAUUUAUUGGGCGUAAAGAGCUCGUAGGCGGUCUGUCGCGUCGGAUGUGAAAACCCAGGGCUCAACCCUGGGCCUGCAUUCGAUACGGGCAGACUAGAGUACGGCAGGGGAGACUGGAAUUCCUGGUGUAGCGGUGGAAAUGCGCAGAUAUCAGGGAGGAACACCGGUGGCGAAGGCGGGUCUCUGGGCAAUAACUGACGGCUGAGG
rnacentral:rRNA from 1 species